UAUCCCCAAUGCCACAACCUUCUUCUUCACUGGAAACCUUCUUCUUCUGCAAGAAUCUUCUCCUUCCUCUUCAAAAUCGCCGAUUCCCCCAUCUCCCUCUCUCUAAAAACUCCAAUACCCCCAUCCCUCUCUCCGAUGCCCUGAAAAACCCUCAGUCCUCUUUUAAUUUAGAGUUUUCUGAGGUUUAGUUUGAUUGAGUGCAGAAUGAAUCUGAGAAACUAAGAUUUUGUGCAAAGGGUUUGUAUCCUUUGAAGGGCUUAGGUCAACUUGUUGUGCAAAGGUUACAAACGAAGAUCGGAGAAACAAUUUGAAGACCCAAAUACUAAGAUUUGCAGUGUGGGAACCAAAUUCCGACUUCAAACAAAGAUUCCUAAACUAUUGUGUGCAUGUAAUGUUUUUACAUUGCAUUUCGGUAAAUGUCUAUUUUUUGGGUUAAACUUUGAGUGUGUUGAUCAAAUUUGAUAAUGGGUAUUUGAUGUUAGUUGUUGCUGUUGAGUAGUAGAAAUUGUUCCCUCUUUCUUUUGGUGAAAUUUGUUGGUAUAUCACACUUUUCUUACUGUAAGUUAGUUUUUUCUGUUCUUUUGGGUAGAUUCUUGUUUAUUCUCUACAUGCAUGUAAGAAAUUUUUUUGAUUUGCUCAUUGCAUGUAUGGAAAUGGACAUCUAGGUGCAUGAUUUUUAAGUAUUAGCUAUACAUCUAUUGUUGUUUGUCGUCAUGAAA